AAGGUAAUAGCUCAGUGGUAGGGUGUGUGCUUAGCAUGCAUGAGGUUCUGGGUUCAAUCCCCAGUACCUCC
rnacentral:tRNA from 1 species